GACGAACGCUGGCGGCGUGCUUAACACAUGCAAGUCGAACGGAAAGGCCCUGCUUUUGUGGGGUGCUCGAGUGGCGAACGGGUGAGUAACACGUGAAUAACCUGCCCUUGACGUUGGGAUAACUUCAGGAAACCGGGGCUAAUACCGGAUAGGAGCGCCUGCUGCAUGGUGGGGGUUGGAAAGUUUCGGCGGUUGUGGAUGGACUCGCGGCUUAUCAGCUUGUUGGUGGGGUAGUGGCUAACCAAGGCUUUGACGGGUAGCCGGCCUGAGAGGGUGACCGGCCACAUUGGGACUGAGAUACGGCCCAGACUCCUACGGGAGGCAGCAGUGGGGAAUAUUGCACAAUGGGCGGAAGCCUGAUGCAGCAACGCCGCGUGCGGGAUGACGGCCUUCGGGUUGUAAACCGCUUUCGCCUGUGACGAAGCGUGAGUGACGGUAAUGGGUAAAGAAGCACCGGCUAACUACGUG
rnacentral:rRNA from 1 species